rnacentral:rRNA from 1 species
UACGGAGGGUGCAAGCGUUAUCCGGAUUCACUGGGUUUAAAGGGUGCGUAGGCGGACAGGUAAGUCCGUGGUGAAAUCCUGCAGCUUAACUGCAGAACUGCCAUGGAUACUAUCUAUCUUGAAUGUCGUGGAGGUUAGCGGAAUAUGUCAUGUAGCGGUGAAAUGCUUAGAUAUGACAUAGAACACCCAUUGCGAAGGCAGCUAACUACGCGAUAAUUGACGCUGAUGCACGAAAGCGUGGGGAGCAAACAGG